GGGGGCGAAACGGCUUCGACGGGGGCAUGGAAGCAAUGGUUGCAUGCCGAGUUCCGCAGACUCGUAAAACAGGCGGUGCUUAAAUAUAAAAGCAGACGAUUAUAACUACGCAGUAGCCGCUUAAGACGGCUACCGUCCUUCCGGGUUUUUCCUGCGGGCCCGGAAAGGGCGCCGACUAGCAGGAUAGCCGAUACGGGUUGCCUGUUCCCGUUCAGGCGAAACACCAAACCGGCUUGCGGUUUGCGUAUCCUGUCUGAAGGAGCCGCAAACAGCGAAAUUCAAAAUUCAGACUAAGCAUGUAGAUGCCGUUGUGGAAUGUUUCCGGACGCGGGUUCGACUCCCGCCGCCUCCACCA
rnacentral:tmRNA from 1 species